GCGUUCUCCUGUUUGCGGACGGCUGCGGGCCUGAGGGCUGGACAGCGCCAUGCCUCAGUACCGGGAACUGUCCCACAUAGGAAGGAACUCUCUGCUCGCCCCUGGGUCCUACCAGCGCAACUAAUUCCAGUUGUAAUCAGAUCUGUGUGGUGCAAAACAAGGCUAGCUGUGGUGGUCUUCCCUCCUCUAAGGAUGUCUCUUCCUCCCUGUAUCCAUCUCUCUAUCUCUGUCUUUAUCUUGUCAAUAAAGAGGGGGUUUAAAAAUG